rnacentral:siRNA from 1 species
UAAGUAACCAGAUCUGGUUGAC